rnacentral:rRNA from 1 species
AAAUUCAAAUUGGCCCGUACCCUAAACCGACACAGGUGGGAAGGUAGAGUAUACCCAGGGGCGCGAGAUAACUCUCUCUAAGGAACUCGGCAAAAUGGCCCCGUAACUUCGGGAGAAGGGGUGCCACCGAGAGGUGGUCGCAGUGAAGAGUCCCAGGCGACUGUUUACCAAAAACACAGGUCUCCGCUAAGUCGCAAGACGAUGUAUGGGGGCUGACGCCUGCCCAGUGCCGGAAGGUUAAGGAAGUUGGUCAGGGAGCAAUCCUGAAGCUAGCGACUGAAGCCCCGGUGAACGGCGGCCGUAACUAUAACGGUCCUAAGGUAGCGAAAUUCCUUGUCGGGUAAGUUCCGACCCGCACGAAAGGCGUAACGAUCUGGGAGCUGUCUCGGAGAGAGGCUCGGCGAAAUAGGAAUGUCUGUGAAGAUACGGACUACCUGCACCCGGACAGAAAGACCCUAUGAAGCUUUACUGUAGCUUGGUAUUGGGUUCGGGCUUUGAUUGCGCAGGAUAGGUGGGAGACUAUGAGAUAGCUCUUGUGGGAGUUAUGGAGUCACUGGUGAGAUACCACUCUAUCAAGGCUAGAAUUCUAACUUUGACCCGUUAUCCGGGCAGAGAACAGUAUCAGGUGGGCAGUUUGACUGGGGCGGUCGCCUCCUAAAUGGUAACGGAGGCGCGCAAAGGUUCCCUCAGGCUGGUUGGAAAUCAGCCAUUGAGUGUAAAGGCAUAAGGGAGCUUGACUGCGAGACUGACAAGUCGAGCAGGUACGAAAGUAGGCCUUAGUGAUCCGACGGUUCCGCGUGGAAGGGCCGUCGCUCAACGGAUAAAAGUUACUCUAGGAUAACAGGCUGAUCUCCUCCAAGAGUUCACAUCGACGGGGAGGUUUGGCACCUCGAUGUCGGCUCAUCGCAACCUGGGGCUGUAGUCGGUCCCAAGGGUUGGGCUGUUCGCCCAUUAAAGCGGUACGUGAGCUGGGUUCAGAACGUCGUGAGACAGUUCGGUCCAUAUCCGGUGCAGGCGUAGGAACAUUGAGAGGAGUCUUCCUUAGUACGAGAGGACCGGGAAGAACGCACCGCUGGUGUACCUGUUAUCGUGCCAACGGUAAACGCAGGGUAGCCAAGUGCGGAGAGGAUAACCGCUGAAAGCAUCUAAGUGGGAAGCCCACCUCAAGAUGAGUGUUCCCAUGGCAAAAGCCAGUAAGGUCACGGGUAGACCACCCGUUAAUAGGCGCUAGAUGGAAGUCCAGCAAUGGAUGUAGUCGAGGCGUACUAACAGACC